UCCUGUUGAUUAGGGAGAUUGAAUUCCU
rnacentral:piRNA from 1 species